CGGGGCGUGGCGCAGCCUGGUAGCGCACCUGCUUUGGGAGCAGGGGGUCGGAGGUUCAAAUCCUCUCGCCCCGA
rnacentral:tRNA from 3 species